AUUGAACGCUGGCGGCAGGCCUAACACAUGCAAGUCGAACGGUAACAGCAAGCCGCUUGCUGCUUUGCUGCCGAGUGGCGGGCGGGUGAGUCAUGUCUGGGAAACUGCCUGAUGGAGGGGGAGAACUACUGGAAACGGUAGCUAAGACCGCAUAACGUCGCAAGACCAAUGAGGGGGACCUUCGGGCCCCUUGCCAUCGGGUAUGCCCAGAUGAGAUUAGCUUGUUGGUGGGGUACCGGCUCACCAAGGCGACGAUCCUGAGCUGGUCUGAGAGGAUGACCCGCCACACUGGCUGUGAGACACGGUCCACACUCCUACGGGAGGCCGCAGUGGGGAAUAUUGCACGAUGGGCGCGAGCCUGAUGCAGCCAUGCCGGGUGUAUGAAGAAGGACUUCGGGUUGUAAAGUACUGUCGGCGGGGAGGAAGGGAGUAAAGUUAAUCCCUGGGCACAUUGACGUUACCGGGAGAAGAAGCACCGGCUAACUCCGUG
rnacentral:rRNA from 1 species